rnacentral:rRNA from 1 species
UACGUAGGGGGCAAGCGUUGUCCGGAAUUAUUGGGCGUAAAGCGCGCGCAGGCGGCUGUUUAAGUCUGGUGUUUAAUCCUGGGGCUCAACUCCGGGUCGCACUGGAAACUGGGCAGCUUGAGUGCAGAAGAGGAGAGUGGAAUUCCACGUGUAGCGGUGAAAUGCGUAGAGAUGUGGAGGAACACCAGUGGCGAAGGCGACUCUCUGGGCUGUAACUGACGCUGAGGCGCGAAAGCGUUGGGAGCAAACAGG